rnacentral:rRNA from 1 species
GAUCAAGUGUCUUAAGGGCAAUUGGUGGAUGCCUUGGCAUGCACAGGCGAUGAAGGACGUGAUACGCUGCGAUAAGCUACGGGGAGGUGCGAAUACCCUUUGAUCCGUAGAUUUCCGAAUGGGGAAACCCACCUAAGGUGCUUGGAAAAUCAGAGUAGCAGGGCAACCUGCUGCUGUGGUUUCCAAGUAUCUGUUAUAGGUAACUUACCCUGAAUAAAAUAGGGGUAAAGUGGCGAACGCGGGGAACUGAAACAUCUAAGUACCCGUAGGAAAGGACAUCAACCGAGACUCCGGCAGUAGUGGCGAGCGAACCCGGACCAGGCCAGUGGCGAUGAUGAGACAAGCGGAACCUUCUGGAAAGUAGGGCCAUAGUGGGUGACAGCCCCGUACGCGUAAUGCAAAUCAUCGUCCUCGAGUAAGGCGGGACACGUGAAAUCCUGUCUGAAAUUGGGGGGACCACCCUCCAAGCCUAAGUACUCGUGCAUGACCGAUAGCGAACUAGUACCGUGAGGGAAAGGUGAAAAGCACCCCGACAAGGGGAGUGAAAGAGUACCUGAAACCGAUUGCCUACAAACAGUGGGAGUCCAAGGUUCGUCCUGGGUGACCACGUACCUUUUGUAUAAUGGGUCAGCGACUUAGUGUGACGAGCAAGCUUAAACCGCUAGGUGUAGGCGCAGCGAAAGCGAGUCUGAACAGGGCGUUCAGUUCGUCGCAUUAGACCCGAAACCGAGUGAUCUAGCCAUGAGCAGGUUGAAGGUAAGGUAACACUUACUGGAGGACCGAACCCAUAACUGUUGCAAUAGUUCGGGAUGACUUGUGGCUAGGGGUGAAAGGCCAAUCAAACUCGGAAAUAGCUGGUUCUCCGCGAAAUCUAUUUAGGUAGAGCGUCGACCGAAUACCCCAGGGGGUAGAGCACUGGAUGGGCUAGGGGUCCUCACCGGAUUACCAAACCUAACCAAACUCCGAAUACCUGGGAGUACUAGUCGGCAGACACACGGCGGGUGCUAACGUCCGUCGUGAAAAGGGAAACAACCCUGACCUACAGCUAAGGUCCCCAAGUUAUGGCUAAGUGGGAAAGGAUGUGAGGAUCCCAAAACAACCAGGAUGUUGGCUUAGAAGCAGCCAUCAUUUAAAGAAAGCGUAACAGCUCACUGGUCUAAAUAAGGGUCUUUGCGCCGAAAAUGUAACGGGGCUCAAGCCAUACACCGAAGCUUAGGGUUCGUGAGCAAUCACGAGCGGUAGCGGAGCGUUCUGUAAGCUGAUGAAGCCAUACCCGUGAGGGGUGGUGGAGGUAUCAGAAGUGCGAAUGCUGACAUGAGUAACGUAAGGGGAGUGAGAGACUCCCCCGCCGAAAGUCCAAGGGUUCCUGCUUAAAGCUAAUCUGAGCAGGGUUAGCCGGCCCCUAAGUCGAGGCAGAAAUGCGUAGACGAUGGGAACCACGUUAAUAUUCGUGGGCCUGGAGGAAGUGACGGAUCAUUGAGGUAGUCCAAUCUUAUCGGAUUGAAAGGGCUGCUGCGUGGUUCCAGGAAAUAGCUCCUCCUUAUAGACCGUACCCGAAACCGACACUGGUGGACUGGUAGAGUAUACCAAGGCGCUUGAGAGAACUAUGCUGAAGGAACUCGGCAAAUUGCACGCGUAACUUCGGAAGAAGCGUGACCCUUUUCCACGCAAGUGGAGGAGGGUGGCACAGACCAGGGGGUAGCGACUGUUUAUCAAAAACACAGGGCUCUGCGAAGUCGCAAGACGACGUAUAGGGUCUGACGCCUGCCCGGUGCUGGAAGGUUAAGAGGAGGGGUGCAAGCUCUGAAUCGAAGCCCCAGUAAACGGCGGCCGUAACUAUAACGGUCCUAAGGUAGCGAAAUUCCUUGUCGGGUAAGUUCCGACCUGCACGAAUGGCGUAACGACUUCCCCGCUGUCUCCAGCAUAGACUCAGUGAAAUUGAAUUCCCCGUGAAGAUGCGGGGUUCCUGCGGUUAGACGGAAAGACCCCGUGCACCUUUACUAUAGCUUUACAUUGGCAUUCGUAGUGGCAUGUGUAGGAUAGGUGGUAGGCUUUGAAACCUGGGCGCCAGCUCAGGUGGAGCCACCCUUGAAAUACCACCCUUAUCACUAUGGAUGUCUAACCGCGGCCCGUUAUCCGGGUCCGGGACAAUGUAUGGUGGGUAGUUUGACUGGGGCGGUCGCCUCCUAAAGAGUAACGGAGGCGCGCGAUGGUGGGCUCAGAACGGUCGGAAAUCGUUCGCUGAGUGCAAUGGCAUAAGCCUGCCUGACUGCGAGACUGACAAGUCGAGCAGAGACGAAAGUCGGUCAUAGUGAUCCGGUGGUCCCGCGUGGAAGGGCCAUCGCUCAACGGAUAAAAGGUACGCCGGGGAUAACAGGCUGAUGACCCCCAAGAGUCCAUAUCGACGGGGUUGUUUGGCACCUCGAUGUCGACUCAUCGCAUCCUGGGGCUGGAGCAGGUCCCAAGGGUAUGGCUGUUCGCCAUUUAAAGCGGUACGUGAGUUGGGUUCAGAACGUCGUGAGACAGUUCGGUCCCUAUCUGCCGUGGGUGUAGGAAUAUUGAAAGGAUCUGUCCCUAGUACGAGAGGACCGGGAUGGACGGAUCUCUGGUGGACCUGUUGUGGCGCCAGCCGCAUAGCAGGGUAGCUAUAUCCGGACGGGAUAACCGCUGAAGGCAUCUAAGCGGGAAACCCACCUUAAAACGAGUAUUCCCUGAGAACCGUGGAAGACGACCACGUUGAUAGGCCGGGUGUGGAAGAGCGGCAACGCUUGAAGCUUACCGGUACUAAUAGUUCGAUCGGCUUGAUCGUUCUCAUU